UAACAAGUUGUCGAAUUCUUUCCACAGACCAACAACAAAGUUUCCAUCAUGAAAGUCGUCUUAAUUCUCGCUAUCGUGAUCGUUGCAGUAUAUGCCGAGGUCUGUACAACUGGUCCUAGAGACUGCUCACUAACGAUGUGUCCCACGGGGGCGGAGCUUCACUGUGUGGACAGUCUGUGCACGUGUACUACACCAGCCAUAGGAAGCGGAGCCUGCAGCACGGGACCUGAUUGUCAUGAGAGGUGCCCGCAGGGACGACCCCAUUGUAUCGAUGGUCAUUGUAGAUGUGGACAUCAAUAAAUGAUUAUUCUUAAAACUUGUUUUUCCUUUUAGAUUUUGUAAGAGAAACUGGAAUGAAAUGCAAACAGCAGCGAUCAUUUGUUGUCAUAAAUUCUUCGCAUUGGUAACUUCAAUCAGUAAAUAUCUACUGAGCGUACAUGUCUUUACCUAUUGAUCACUUUACAUUGGCGAAUACCUAAUCAACUUGAAUGUUUAGCUAAUUUCACUUUAAUUAGUGAAUGUCUACUAAACAAGUUUGAGUUUGGCUAUUGGUAAUUUUCAUUAGCAAAUGUCUUUUGAACGUAUAUGUGUUUAGCUAUUGUUCAUUUCAAUUAGUUAACAUUAGUCACCUCAUCACAGGUAU